UGGACGGGUGAGUAAUGUCUGGGAAACUGCCCGAUGGAGGGGGAUAACUACUGGAAACGGUAGCUAAUACCGCAUAACGUCGCAAGACCAAAGAGGGGGACCUUCGGGCCUCUUGCCAUCGGAUGUGCCCAGAUGGGAUUAGCUAGUAGGUGGGGUAACGGCUCACCUAGGCGACGAUCCCUAGCUGGUCUGAGAGGAUGACCAGCCACACUGGAACUGAGACACGGUCCAGACUCCUACGGGAGGCAGCAGUGGGGAAUAUUGCACAAUGGGCGCAAGCCUGAUGCAGCCAUGCCGCGUGUAUGAAGAAGGCCUUCGGGUUGUAAAGUACUUUCAGCGAGGAGGAAGGCAUUAAGGUUAAUAACCUUAGUGAUUGACGUUACUCGCAGAAGAAGCACCGGCUAACUCCGUGCCAGCAGCCGCGGUAAUACGGAGGGUGCAAGCGUUAAUCGGAAUUACUGGGCGUAAAGCGCACGCAGGCGGUCUGUCAAGUCGGAUGUGAAAUCCCCGGGCUCAACCUGGGAACUGCAUCCGAAACUGGCAGGCUAGAGUCUUGUAGAGGGGGUA
rnacentral:rRNA from 1 species